AUCAUUACCGAUGUGGCGCGAAAUUCCUGUCGUGAGACGGGGAAGCUACCCGACCUUUUGUCAUUUUGUCGAGUCUGGCUGGCGGGAUUGCAUUCGUGAGAAGCGAAUGUGGAUUUCGGCAGACGGACCAAAACCUCGGCGGAAGAGGUAGGCGUUGACCUGCCCGCCGCCGGCCGUAGAAGACAAUACACAUUCUUGAGAGCACAACUGAAGUCUAAGACGAUACUUGAAAAAGAAAUAGUAAAAAAGCAAAACUUUCAACAACGGAUCUCUUGGCUCUGGCAACGAUGAAGAACGCAGCGAAACGCGAAAGGUAAUGCGAAUUGCAGAAUCAGUGAGUCAUCGAAUCUUUGAACGCACAUUGCGCCUCUCGGUAUUCCGGGAGGCACGCCUGUUCGAGCGCCAUUACAAACUCCAAGCUGUGCUUGAUGUUGGUCCGGUGUGUAUCGGGUAAAUCUUCUUUUUCGGAGGAAGAGUUUGAGAGACACAGGACUGGAACGCGUUGGCGCCGCCGCCAGACCACGAGCGUAGCAAGACGAGAGUCAAGAAAUCGCCUCGGGUUGGAUCUGACGGACGGUGGCCUGGUUUAUGUAUGUAGUCCGGAAUUUUAUKKUAUAAAAAUUAUGUGUAUGAUAGACUACGACACACACACAGUUUGGCC
rnacentral:rRNA from 1 species